UCCUUGGUGGCUCAGAUGGUAAAAGCAUCUGCCUGCAAUGCAGGAGACCCAGGUUCGAUCCCUGGGUUGGGAA
rnacentral:tRNA from 1 species